rnacentral:rRNA from 1 species
CAGUAGCCACGGUAAUACAGAGGGUGCGAGCGUUAAUCGGAUUUACUGGGCGUAAAGCGUGCGUAGGCGGCUAAUUGAGUCGGAUGUGAAAUCCCCGAGCUUAACUUGGGAAUUGCAUUCGAUACUGGUUAGCUAGAGUGUGGGAGAGGAUGGUAGAAUUCCAGGUGUAGCGGUGAAAUGCGUAGAGAUCUGGAGGAAUACCGAUGGCGAAGGCAGCCAUCUGGCCUAACACUGACGCUGAGGUACGAAAGCAUGGGGAGCAAACAGGAUUAGAUACCCGCGUAGUCCCUGUCUCUUAUAC